rnacentral:lncRNA from 13 species
UAGUGGGUAGAUGUCUUGACAGAAAUGUUAGCAGAAGGUGAAUGUUGAACUUUUGUUGCAUAGAUAUCCAGAUGUUGCUGCAUAGUAUUUUGUGCAAUGAUGCUGUCAGUGUAAUCAAAGAGUUAGAUGUCUGUUUAAGGAACUUUGGCCUAUUUGUGGCUGUUUUAAAUAGUCCAUAAUCAGCACCACUGAGCAAUGUUGAAAAAGCAAUUCAUUAAUCCUUAAAUGGGAAUUUAGCCCUAGGGUAAUCUGGUCUUGUUUUCAUCAUGUCCAUGGCAUUUCUAGGUCAGUGAGAUGUUUCACACAUAAUUGCCCAGGAGGUCUGGGAUUCGCAUGCCAAAUGAUACACCCUAUGAUAGUACCAUGGCAUGUAUUUUCUUCAUUUUACUGCCAUUUUUGUAAGGGGAUGGGGGAAUUCAGCAGGCGCUAUCGCCAGAUCAGUUAGACAAAGUUGUGAUGGGAUACAUUCUGCACGUGCCAAGGUCAGUGUGAACCGGAAAGACUUGACACAAUGCUGGCCAAACAAGAUGUACUGUAGCUACAAACAAAACUAAGUUAAAUGGUUCCAGUCUGUCGUGAAGCAUUCAUCCAUGUACACGGGCCAACAAGAUGUUCAACCCGAUGACUGUAUAAAGGAAUGGACAAAGCCAUCGAUCACGUGACACCAUUCGUUCCUAUGUGAAGACUCAACAGCGCAUUGAAACCAAAUGAGCAUCAGUAGAACACGCCUGACACUCCUCCACCAGUCACACAAGGAGAAUGGUCUAAUGCCUCCCUUCAAAAAGAGAACUGGCCCAAGCAAGAACAGGUUACACCUGAAGCAUGAGGACUUGCAGCGAGUGGUGAACUUCAUCAACAACUACAGGAUAAUGCAACAGUAUUACCAGGAUGCCACCCAGGACACAGGCUCUUUGGUGGAAAGCUGUUGUCAUGUGACAAAUGCAGUGGUGUGGCGUCUCUACAAGGAAUCGAUGACAACACUUGGUAAGUAAAGCUUAAACAACACGUUUUGAAUAUUUAAUUUACCUCCAACAUGAUUGGCACUACUUUUAUUGAUCUCACAUUAUUUCUGUCACGCCUGCUCCCACCCCCCUCUCUGGCGCUAGAGGGAUCCAGGCUGCCUUUCAUUAAGCACACCUGUCACCAUCAUUAAAGCGCAUCAGAGCUCAUUUGACUCACCUGGACUCCACGUUUUGAUUGCCUUCCCUAUAUCUGUCUGGUUGCUCUGUUUCAUUCCUGUGCCAGCGUUGUUGUUGUUUUGGUUUUCCACUGUCAAUGAAACACGGUCAGGAACAGAAUUCGGACAGUGUCUGGCUGACACUACUAUACAAAGCAUCAGGGAGGUUUUUGUUUUUCGUUUUGUUGGUGAUGUCAGGUCCGGGUGCCGCCGCCAUUGGGACCGGGGGUGCCUCAGCUGGCUCGUCGGGCUUCCACGUCUUAGCUGGCUUGAGAGGUUUC